GACGAACGCUGGCGGCGUGCCUAAUACAUGCAAGUCGAGCGGACGGAUGGGAGCUUGCUCCCAGACCGUCAGCGGCGGACGGGUGAGUAACCCGUGGGCAACCUGCCUGUAAGACUGGGAUAACUCCGGGAAACCGGGGCUAAUACCGGAUAACUCUUUCCCUCACAUGAGGGAAAGCUGAAAGAUGGCAUCUCGCUAUCACUUACAGAUGGGCCCGCGGCGCAUUAGCUAGUUGGUGAGGUAACGGCUCACCAAGGCGACGAUGCGUAGCCGACCUGAGAGGGUGAUCGGCCACACUGGGACUGAGAAACGGCCCAGACUCCUACGGGAGGCAGCAGUAGGGAAUCUUCCGCAAUGGACGAAAGUCUGACGGAGCAACGCCGCGUGAGUGAUGAAGGUUUUCGGAUCGUAAAACUCUGUUGUCAGGGAAGAACAAGUACCGGAGUAACUGCCGGUACCUUGACGGUACCUGACCAGAAAGCCACGGCUAACUACGUG
rnacentral:rRNA from 1 species